GAUGAACGCUGGCGGCGUGCCUAAUACAUGCAAGUCGAGCGAACAGACGAGGAGCUUGCUCCUCUGACGUUAGCGGCGGACGGGUGAGUAACACGUGGAUAACCUACCUAUAAGACUGGGAUAACUUCGGGAAACCGGAGCUAAUACCGGAUAAUAUAUUGAACCGCAUGGUUCAAUAGUGAAAGACGGUUUUGCUGUCACUUAUAGAUGGAUCCGCGCCGCAUUAGCUAGUUGGUAAGGUAACGGCUUACCAAGGCAACGAUGCGUAGCCGACCUGAGAGGGGGAUCGGCCACACUGGAACUGAGACACGGUCCAGACUCCUACGGGAGGCAGCAGUAGGGAAUCUUCCGAAAUGGGCGAAAGCCUGACGGAGCAACGCCGCGUGAGUGAUGAAGGUCUUCGGAUCGUAAAACUCUGUUAUUAGGGAAGAACAAAUGUGUAAGUAACUAUGCACGUCUUGACGGUACCUAAGCAGAAAGCCACGGCUAACUACGU
rnacentral:rRNA from 1 species